GAACCGUACAAACGUUAUUCGGAAUCACUGGGCUUAAAGGGUGCGUAGGCGGCUUGGCAAGUUGGGGUGUGAAAUCCCUCGGGCUCAACCGAGGAACUGCGCCCAAAACUGCUUGGCUUGAGGGAGAUAGAGGUGAGCGGAACUUAGGGUGGAGCGGUGAAAUGCGUUGAUAUCCUAAGGAACACCGGUGGCGAAGGCGGCUCACUGGAUCUCUUCUGACGCUGAGGCACGAAAGCUAGGGUAGCGAACGGGAUUAGAUACCCCGGUAGUCCUAGCUGUAAACGAUGAGCACUGGGUUGGAGGCCCCCCCAUAGGCUUCCGGCCGAAGCGAAAGUGUUAAGUGCUCCGCCUGGGGAGUAUGGUCGCAAAGGCUG
rnacentral:rRNA from 1 species